UACGGAGGGUGCAAGCGUUAAUCGGAAUUACUGGGCGUAAAGCGCACGCAGGCGGUUGGACAAGUUAGAAGUGAAAGCCCCGGGCUCAACCUUGGAAAUGUAUUUAAAACUGUCAGGCUAGAGUCUUGUAGGGGGGGGUAGAAUUCCAGGUGUAGCGGUGAAAUGCGUAGAGAUCUGGAGGAAUACCGGUGGCGAAGGCGGCCCCCUGGACAAAGACUGACGCUCAGGUGCGAAAGCGUGGGUAGCAAACAGG
rnacentral:rRNA from 1 species